CCCUGUUGGGGACAAGGGACAGCCAUAAUAAUAAUCAUAAUAAUCAUAAUAAUCAUAAUAAUCAUAAUUUGUGCCAACCUCGCAGAAAGUGACCAAGGAGGAUGCAGGAACCACCUGAAGGCAGCGCCACAUUCCAGCACACCCUGGGUAAACACAGGGAGGUGACACAGGUGACACACAAAGGUCCCCAGGGAACGCCCAGGUGAGCAGGAACACAACCCUGCCCGGGAAUUCCUCACUCCUCAAUCCCUUCCUUUGACCCCAAAAACUGGGGCAGGGUUUGGGAUGCCCUGGCACAGCAGGAAAAAUUCAUUAAUUUGGAUUUUUUGUUGUGAUAUUGGUGUUAAUUUGGAUUUUUUGUUGUGAUAUUGGUGUUAAUUUGGAUUUUUUUGUUGUGAUAUUGGUGUUAAAUUUGGAUUUUUUGUUGUGAUAUUGGUGUUAAUUUGGAUUUUUUUGUUGUGAUAUUGGUGUUAAUUGGUGUUAAUUCAGCCCAAACCAGCACAAGGAUGUUUCCAGCACUGCCCAAAGCCUCUCCCAAACCCUCUGGACACGCUGUGAGCUGAGGCAGGGGCAGAUCCCAGCAGCUCAGCUCAGCAACACCCCCCUGGAAUUGUGUUUUCAGCUCAAUUUCGGCGCUUUGGAGCUCUAAAGCACACAGCUGAGUGUGCCUUCAGAGCUGGGAGCACUCUUUCCAGAGCUGGGAUCAUAAUUUCCAGGUCUGGGAUCACUCUUUCCAGAUCUGGGAUCACACCUGUGAGAUCUGGGAUCACUCUUUCCAGAGCUGGGAUAAUAAUUUCCAGGUCUGGGAUCAUAAUUUCCAGGUUUGGGAUCUCUUUCCAGAUCUGAAAUCACACUUUCCAAAUCUGGGAUCACUCUUUCCAAACCUAGGAUCAUCAUUUCCAGGUCUGGGAUCACUCAUUCCAGAUCAGGGAUCACACCUGCCAAAGCUGGGAUCACUCUUUCCAGAGCUGGGAUCGUAAUUUCCAGGACUGGGAUCUCUUUCCAGAUCUGAAAUCACACUUUCUAUAUCUGGGAUCACUCUUUCCAAAUCUGGGAUCACUCUUUCCAGGUCUGGGAUCACUCUUUCCAAACCUGGGAUCAUAAUUUCCAGGUCUGGGAUCUCUUUCCAGAUCUGAAAUGACACUUUCUAAAUCUGGGAUCACUCUUUCCAGAUCUGGGAUCACUCUUUCCAAAUCUGGGAUCACUCUUUCCAAAUCUGAGAUCAUAAUUUCCAGGUCUGGAAUCUCUUUCCAGAUCUGAAAUCACACUUUUCAAAUCUAGGAUCAUAAUUUCCAGGUCUGGGAUCACACCUGCCAGCUUUGGAAUCACACCUGCCAGCUUUGGGAUCUCUUUCCAGAUCUGAAAUCACACUUUCCAAAUCUGGGAUCACUCUUUCCAAAGCUGGGAUCACUCCUGUGAGAUCUGGGAUCACUCUUUCCAGAGCAGGGAUCAUAAUUUCCAGGUCUGGAAUGUCUUUCCAGAUCUGAAAUCACACUUUCUAUAUCUGGGAUCACACUUUCCAAAACUGGAAUCACUCUUCCCAAAUCUGGGAUCACUAUUUCCAGGUCUGGGAUCACACCUGCCAGGUCUGGGAUCUCUUUCCAGAUCUGAAAUCACACUUUUCAAAUCUGGGAUCAUAAUUUCCAGGUCUGGGAUC